rnacentral:rRNA from 1 species
GACGAACGCUGGCGGCGUGCUUAACACAUGCAAGUCGAACGGAAAGGCCCUGCUUUUGUGGGCUGCUCGAGUGGCGAACGGGUGAGUAGCACGUGAGUAACCUGCCCUUGACUUUGGGAUAACUUCAGGAAACUGGGGCUAAUACCGGAUAGGAGCUCCUGCUGCAUGGUGGGGGUUGGAAAGUUUCGGCGGGUGGGGAUGGACUCGCGGCUUAUCAGCUUGUUAGUGGGGUAGUGGCUUACCAAGGCUUUGACGGGUAGCCGGCCUGAGAGGGGGACCGGCCACAUUGGGACUGAGAGACGGACCAGACGCGUACGGGAGGCAGCAGGGGGGAAUAUUGCACAACGGGCGGAAGCCUGAGGCAGCAACGCCGCGUGCGGGAUGACGGCCUUCGGGGUGUAAACCGCUGUCGCCUGUGACGAAGCGGGAGUGACGGUAAUGGGUAAAGAAGCACCGGCUAACUACGUG